UUCAAAGUAGGGUUUCCAGCCACAAAUAUGGUUUCAAGUAAUGUUAUAAUCCUUAAAGCCAGGCUUAUUGUUUCAAACCAAGGCUUGUGUUCAAAUUGGGGUUUCAAGAUAGACUUUGGGUUUCGAAGUAAGGUUUCAAACCACAGUAAGAGUUUUAAGUUAACAUCUCAAGCCAGCCAUUUGGUUUCAAACAAGUGUUUAGGCUUCAAACGAGAGUUUCAAGCCAGUAUUAGGCUUCCAAAGUAAGGUAUCAAGAGAUGUUUCCGAUUCCAUAUUGGGGGUUCAAACCAAUGUUUGGGUUUCAAGUCAGGGUCAGAGUUUUUUUAAAAAUUGUUAACAUUUCUAUUUCAUCUUUAAAGUCAGUGCUAAAGUUUCAAACCAGAUUAAAAAAAAAAAAAAAGGAAUAAAAAGAUGUAUUUUGAAAUGAUAUAGAAUAAAAUAACGUGGUUAUUUUUUGUAUUGUUUUGAAAUCUAUAAAAUACAAUGACUAAUUAAGCCACUGAAGUACCUAAAUUCAUAAAUGGGAUUAAAGGGCAUCUCUCAUUUUCCACAUAUGGGCGGCGGUAAUAAAAGAAUUGAGGGAAGGCGUAUAGCAUAAAGAUGAGAGAACCUGAAAACGUUUGUUGACGCUCCCUUGCAGACCCGCUGCGGGAGCGUCGCUUCCCGUCAACAGCUGCGGCGCGUUAUUAAUAAAUAGACUUGUUUACACGUAUGAACAUAAGACAGCAUCUACAACGCCGACACGCAGAUAACAUCAGGCUCGCAGGUCUCAUUCGGCGAGAUGUGAGGCCAUGAGCAUUUGGCAGUUUUUUGGGUGGUGCUGACGGCUGCGGGGCCCAUUAGCGACAGAUCCCAGCCUCCAGCAGACCACGCGUGUCCCCCGGUGACACAUUUUUGGACCGGCACCAACAAUCCAACCCUCGGCAGACAGCUCACUUUCCCUCUGUGCUCCGCGUGUGUGUGUGUGUGUGUGUGUGUGUGUGCGCGUGCGCGUGUGUGAGUGCGAGCACAGCAUGAGUCCCACAGGAAAUGCUUGAAAGGCAGUACGGGACAGAUUGGCGAUGGCGCACGGCGGCGAUGAAUACCGAAAGGAGACGGCAGAGGAGACAUCUUGCAUACGGGACGUUUGUUGCAGUGCAUGCUGGUCCGCGCCACCAACUGUACUGUACUCGACUACGUUAAACGCCGACAUGCCGGCCAUGUGAUACAUAUUCAGUUGAUAUAUUUAACGGGCGAAGGAGAUUCUUAUUAAUCCGAAGGCGGCGUGAUUAUGGAACGAUAUGUCAUUGGCGCACAAAAGAAGAGUGGAUGUUACGAAUGGAUUCUUUCUCCGUGCUAAUACGGAGUUAAUUAUGGAGCUAAUGACUCCUCACAAAGGCUUGUGUGAUUAGUCCAGGAAAGUUCCUAUACUUGUCAUUACAUGUUUAAUGUCGGCCAUUCCUCAUUUCCAAAAGAGAAGUCUAUCAGUGACACCACAAUCUUUUCUCUCACUUGCGCCACCACUUUUUUUUUUUUUUUUUUUUUUUUUCCACAGUUAUUCUCAUCAUAUCAUAUUAUCACACUGCUCACAACUUGAAAACUUGUAUUUUCCGUAUUCAUGGAACGUGUGGAAUGAGGAGUGCCCAACUGACCUGACGAUACGCGAUGUCUUCACUGUCAUUGGGCGAAAAUAACAAAUGUCACAACAUCGUGGAGUGACCACGUGUCAGAGUCAAAUUGGUCAGGUCAUCUUCAAUCCUUUGCGGUGAACUUACUUCCAACACUGUAAGUAUCUACAUGUAAUACAUAUUUACGUCCUUUCGAACUUGUCAAUUGUCACGUAGGUCCUCCAACAUGUCUGUGUCCGUUAUUUCUCGUGAACUCGCUGCCAUUAUACCGUCGAAAGUUAAAUAUGAUAAAUGCGUGAAACAGCCCGAGAGAGACGAUGUCGUGAAACUCAUCGGUCGCUGAGAUUCGUGUUGUCGUUAUCGUGCGAUGGAGUCGAGAUUCUACGGGAAAGCCGUCGCCGAUGUUGGUUAGCAAUCAAGUGGCUCAACAGGAUCUUGAGGAUAGCUGCAAUGAAGACAAGUGACCCUGUGCAGUCAGUGUGACUCGAAGGGUCAAGGGUUAAGUUCAAGAUAUUUGCAUUCACAAAGCAUAAUAUUUUAGUGUCAUUUUAUAGUGAUUGUAUUGUUGGACUUAAGACCUUGUUGACUUCAAUAAAAGUCAGAUUUUUUUAACCCCCCCCAAAAUUAGCCUCUUAAUUGCAUCGUUUAUAUUUACUUAGAAUACCCAAAAUAAAAAUGGUUAGCUUGAACCUGGAACCAGAUAUUUAAAAAUAAUAGUGGCGGAUCUUGAUUUUUGUGCACGCCAAAGGCUUACUGGCGUGAUGGCCAAUUUUGGCAGACCAAUCUGCACCAAGAUGGCCGUCCUUUGACACAUGCUGCAUUGUUAAUUUGAUGCCAGAAUGCCGCUCUCAACUUUUGCCUUC